rnacentral:lncRNA from 1 species
GGCGCUGGGAUCUCCUAGGGUUUUCUGUUUGUGAUUUUUUUGUUUUGGGCUUUAAUGUGAUUGGUCCGAGGUAUUUGGCCAUUGUAAUUGGGUUGUUUUUAGACUGUUAUUUUAUUUGGUUUUUAUUUUUAUUUUAAUUUGAUUUUUUAUUUAUUAUGGGCCGGGAAAAUAUUGGGCCUUACAUUGUGAAUACGGUUCUGAGGCAAAAAUUGUAUAAAUGGAUUGGUAGUUCAACUAGAGACACCAUGAGAAAAUUUUGAGCAUACCAAAACGCAAGUAGGUGAAUUUUGCAAGAUGUUCCAUAAGGUAAAAUUUCAAGCAAACACAUAAUUAUAUCAAGUAAGUUUCGAUUUUUGUUGUUAAUGGAUAAUUACUACUCU